ACUAGAUAACUAUUUUUUAAAAAUUUCGACAAUCUUCUUAGAAUUUUCAGAAUCUGCUUCACCCCAUAAGUAACACAACAUUCGAAAAUCAACAAUAUUGACUCUAUAUUCACUUCCUUUCAAUACAACAUAAAUCAACCCUAAAUAUGCAUAUAUUUACAUAAUUCUUAACCCAAACAUACAAUUCAUAUCAACAGCAUAAAUAAAAAUUGAAUCAAAAUCAAACUUAACUUAUCUAUAUUCACUUCAACUUUCAAUACAACAUAAAUCAAACCUAAACAUGGCAUAUAUUUACAUAUCUAACCGCCAAAAAAAACAACAUACCAAGUUAUAGUAACCACAAAAAAAAAUUGAUCAAAAAUCAAACUUAACUUUACAAUCAAAGAAUAAAUCUUAAAACUUCACUAGAAAUUUUACUCUUCCAAAUCUGAUAUCAAAUCAAAUCUCGCUUAAGUUCUCUCUCUCUAUUUUCUCCUUCCUCUCUCGGUCUUUCUCUUCAUGAGAACUCUACUGGGUUUGUUUUUAUUUUUUCUUCUAACCUUAGAUAUAUCGAUAAGAACGGGAAGGCGAUGUUCCUAUGCCAAAAUUAUAUUUUUUUGUUAUCCAAAUUACACAUUUUUUCUCCUAUAUUUAAUGCUAUUAUUGUAUAUGAGUUAGAGAUUUAUAAUUCACUCUAAACUUUUAAAUCAUAUCAACGUAUAUCGCCUUGUAACUUAAUAAUUAUUAUUAAUUAAUUCAUUAAAUAAUUAAAUUAUAAAAGAUGGGUCUCACAAUAGGAAUGUUAAUUCUUUUGAAAUUAUAUGAUUUUGUUGACGAUUGUGCCAGAUAUUAUGACCAGAAUAGUAAUUGUAAAUAUUUAUAUACAAAAAAUAUGUAAUGAUAUUGUAUACUUUUUCAUACACGUCAGCUAUGGUUAAUUUAUUACGCUUCUGUAUAUAUAUAAUUGAAUUCAAGUAUUGAAUGGAAAAGAAAAUCCCUAAACUAGUUGAGAAGUAGGCCUUAGUGAGUUGGACUCACUGGCCGGGCACGAUGACCCCCGUGAUAAGGGUGGACCCCGUGUAUAAAUGUGUUGGGUCAUGACACCAACAACAUUGCGAAUCUAAUUGCGGACACGUUUGGCUAUUGGCAGCGACAACAACGCAACUCUGACAGUGGCUUACGACUUCAACAAUGGCUCUCUCUCUGAGUUAGGGUCUAAUCUGGGUUGGGUUUGCGGGAAGGAGAACGCUUGUUAGGGUUAGGUUGUGGGAUCUUAGGUUUUGGUUUUGGGUCUUGUUAGUUGGCACCAUGUGGCCCACACAUUUUGCUUAGGUGUCAUUUCCAUCCAUUUUUUGGACGAAAAUGGAAUAAUGGUGUUAAUUACAAACAAAGGAUUAGUUUAUGGUGCAAAUUGAGAAAAUUAAUAGUUUAAGAGGUAAAGUGAAAAUUAUUCAAUAACUUUAAGGGGGCAAAGUGUAAUAAUUCCCAAUGUAUUUGUUAUCAUGCUAUUUACAAACACUAAGAUUCAUUUUUUGCAUGCUUGAAGCCGUAAGCAUCCAUUGAAAUCUUUUGCCACGAUUUACGUGACAUUAUAAUGUAAGGGUGCAUCUCUAAUCCACUAGGUUGUGGGAGGCUAGGUUUUAGGACAAGGGUUUCCAAAAUUCGGAUUAGUUGAAAAAUUAAAGAGUGAAUAGUUUUUUUACUGUUCUUGUUUUUUUAGGACCAAAUAAAUUCAUUCAAUUCCUAGAACUAAUCCAAUCCGAACCUAAAAUACUGUUUUGGUUCCAUCCAGAAUCACAAUUUUAGUCGGUAACAUUUCUCUUGUGCAUCCUAUACAGCUGAACAUACCUCAUUUCACUCUAUAAAAUUAAAUAUCCAAAACAAAUCAUCUAUUAAUAAAAAAAUAUGAAAUAAACAUUCUACUUCUAUUAGGUGCACUUGUUUUUGGUAAGUGCAUUAUAUUAGGGUUGUGGUUAUUUGAUAUUUAUAGCUUUUUUAUUUAUUUACUGAAGUAAGUAUAUAAUCUAUACUUUUAUAAUCAGGUGGCAAUUCCCAAAACUGGAUCUCCUACUCUAUAUUUUAAGACAAAUCCAAUUGUCGAAAACACUAAAAAAUUGUGGAUCAUCGCGAAAAUAUUUGCUUACCUUAAGAAUUUUUAAAGAAAAAAAAAACUAUUUUUGAGUCAUAACAGAGGAGGCAGAGUUCCACCAUUGAAGAUCAACACAUCGAGAUCCUGCCAAUCAUUUUCACUCAUCUACUACUCGCCCACCACCAAUUGUGAUGCACCAGCACUACCGGAACAUCACUUUCCUCAGGUCACACCGUCUCAACCAUGGACGACACAAAAUUGCACAAGUUGUACAUCCAGUGUCCUAUAUUGUGGUUGCAACCAUAUCCGUUGUCGUUGGCUACUUCAAGUCAGAGAGAGACAAAGGGCGAGAAAGGGGAGAUUGAGUGGUUUUGGGUUGAGAUUUUCAAUAACGUGAGCUUUUUAUGAGAGAGAAAUUGUUGUGUGGGGUGGGGGGAGGAAAUUGAGUGGAGAUUCUGCAAGAAUGCAAGAGCAAUAGCUGAAGGGUAUUGAAAGCCAAUUGACAUUUUUCAUUAACGGUAUUAAUAUAAUUGCGAUGUAUGUAGUUGAAGGGGGUUAAGUGUAGAAUUUUAAACAACAGUGAAGACGAAGUAAAAAAUGACCUUUGUUGAGGGGGUUACUGUAAUUUCCCCUUUCAUCCGGUGGAAAUCUUUCGUGGAGUUUGGCCGUCGGCAAUUAUUUUGAUCGAUAUUGAAGCAAACUCUCCAUUAUUAUCCUAACAAUCGAUCGAUCUGUUAACGAAUCCUUAGAUCUGUGUAAUAAUACGUAGAGAGAGAGAGAGAGCAGUAAACAUCAGAGUGUUGUGGUGGGAAAAUGGAGAAGAUGAAUCAGGCAUUUGAGAAGGUAAAGAUGCUAGUGGGGAUGGAGGUGGAAGAAGAACACCCACCUGAAGAUGAGAGCUCUUUUGCCUUCAUCGACGACUUCAAUCGUAAUUGCACUUUGUCCACCAAGCAGGUCCUCUCCCCCUCUCUCUCCCCCUACAUAUAUAUGUAAAAUCGCAUACAAUCGUGUGUAUGUAUUAAUUUCUUCAAUUUGUCAUUGUUUUGUUUUUUCAAUAUCUUGUUAUUGUUUGUGAUUUUGAUCUCAAACCACUUUAUGUCCCGUAUUUUCGUUGUAAAUAUGUAAUAGUUAUUUUGGUAGACAAGUUCAG
rnacentral:lncRNA from 1 species